GACGAACGCUAGCGGCGUGCUUAACACAUGCAAGUCGAACGGUAAGGCCCCUUCGGGGGUGCACGAGUGGCGAACGGGUGAGUAACACGUGAGCAACCUGCCCUUGACUCCGGGAUAACAGUUGGAAACAGCUGCUAAUACCGGAUACGACCUUCGAUGACAUCAUCUGGAGGUGGAAAGCGCUUUAGCGGUCAAGGAUGGGCUCGCGGCCUAUCAGCUUGUUGGUGAGGUAACGGCUCACCAAGGCUUCGACGGGUAGCCGGCCUGAGAGGGCGACCGGCCACACUGGGACUGAGAUACGGCCCAGACUCCUACGGGAGGCAGCAGUGGGGAAUAUUGCACAAUGGGCGCAAGCCUGAUGCAGCAACGCCGCGUGCGGGAUGACGGCCUUCGGGUUGUAAACCGCUUUCAGUUCCGACGAAGCGCAAGUGACGGUAGGAACAGAAGAAGGACCGGCCAACUACGUGCCAGCAGCCGCGGUGAUACGUAGGGUCCGAGCGUUGUCCGGAAUUAUUGGGCGUAAAGGGCUUGUAGGCGGUUUGUCACGUCGGAAGUGAAAACUCAGGGCUCAACCCUGAGCCUGCUUCCGAUACGGGCAAACUAGAGGGAUGCAGGGGAGAAUGGAAUUCCUGGUGGAGCGGUGGAAUGCGCAAUAUCAGGAGGAACACCGGUGGCGAAGGCGGUUCUCUGGGCAUUUCCUGACGCUGAGAAGCGAAAGCGUGGGGAGCAAACAGGCUUA
rnacentral:rRNA from 1 species